rnacentral:rRNA from 1 species
GUAGGGAAUAUUGGGCAAUGGAUGCAAGUCUGACCCAGCCAUCCCGCGUGCCGGAAGAAGGCCCUCAGGGUUGUAAACGGCUUUUGACGGUGAAGAAUCGACAGGAUGCGUCCUGUUUUGACGGUAGCCGUUGAAUAAGCACCGGCUAACUCCGUGCCAGCAGCCGCGGUAAUACGGAGGGUGCGAGCGUUGUCCGGAUUUAUUGGGUUUAAAGGGUGCGUAGGCUGGAAGGUCAGUCAGCGGUGAAAAGCUGUCGCUUAACGAUAGUCUUGCCGCAGAUACUUCCUUUCUUGGAUGAGGAGGAGGCCACUGGAACGGAUGGUGUAGCGGUGAAAUGCAUAGAUAUCAUCCAGAACACCGAUUGCGAAGGCAGGUGGCUGUACCCUAAUCGACGCUGAUGCACGAAAGCAUGGGGAGCAAACAGGAUUAGAAACCCGAGUAGUCC